rnacentral:rRNA from 1 species
GACGAACGCUGGCGGCGUGCUUAACACAUGCAAGUCGAACGGAAAGGCCCUGCUUUUGUGGGGUGCUCGAGUGGCGAACGGGUGAGUAACACGUGAGUAACCUGCCCUUGACUUUGGGAUAACUUCAGGAAACUGGGGCUAAUACCGGAUAGGAGCUCCUGCUGCAUGGGGGGGGUUGGAAAGUUUCGGCGGUUGGGGCUGGACUCGCGGCUUAUCAGCUUGUUGGUGGGGUAGUGGCUUACCAAGGCUUUGACGGGUAGCCGGCCUGAGAGGGUGACCGGCCCCAUUGGGCCUGAGAUACGGCCCAGACUCCUACGGUAGGCAGCAGUGGGGAAUAUUGCACAAUGGGCGGAAGCCUGAUGCGGCAACGCCGCGUGCGUGAUGCCGGCCUUCGGGUUGUAAACCGCUUUCGCCUGUGACGAAGCGUGAGUGACGGUAAUGGGUAAAGAAGCACCGGCUAACUACGUG